GAUAUGAUUUUUGGAGUUUGAUAGAAGAUGCUAUAAUAAACGAUGAAAUAUAAAUGGUCUAAUCCAAAAUAAGACAUUUUAUGUUAAGUUGUGAGUUUCCCUUAUGCCUUAUCUUUUGCUAAAUAAAAGUAUGCGAAUUUUCUCAUUUAUCAACUUACUAGGUGUAAAGUUGUGAUGCUUUUUAGAUGAAUUUCAAUGUAACACUUUCUUGAAAUUUUUUAGAUUUGUUAAGUAGUCAUGUAGUAUUAGCCAUUGAGUAUAUUGUUGUUAUAUUUUUGAAGUGAGACUCAUAAGAGUUUUGUUACCCAUUUGAUUAUCGACGUGUUCUAUUCAUUAUAACUUAUACUAAUUCUUACUAGAAUUUAUAUGGAUUAGAGGAUAGUCAUGAUAAUAACCCACAGAUAAGUAUUAUAUACUUUUGUAGUAAUGAAAGUAAAGAAAAAGUAGCAAAGUUGAGAUGCCUUUGCGACAUUACCCCAAGAGGCCAAGACAAAUGGGAACUAUCAUCAUUUUAAGAUUACUUCCUUUUCUUCUCUUUCCUUUUGGUUCCUUUGACUACAUUUUAUUUAUCUUCUUCUAUUACUUUUUGUUUUCUCCUUCUGAUCUAUUGAAUAAGUUGAAUAUUUUUCAAAAAAUAAAAUACAAUUUAUUUCUAUCCAGAAUUUUUUGGGGACUUUUGUUAGUAUUAAUAUUGGGCUUAUAUCUGAAACUAGAAAAUAAUAAUCGGGCUCAAUAAAAUAAGCAGAACAUAAUAUCAGGGCCCAAAAACUAAACAUUUCUUAGCAGAAAUAUAUUUUACUUAGGCUAACCGCGAUCCAUUAACUUUUAACUAGAGAAAAAGCUCGGCAACUUGUACUAUACUACUUUUUGGAUUAACGCGAUCCAAUAAUUCACAUCAUGACAAGAAAAAGGAUCACAUUACGGAUGGGCACCGACAGUAAUUAUCUUGUUUUAUGAAACAAAUUUAAUAGUAUAUAAAUGUAACCAUCUCAAAUAUUUGAGAACCCCACACACAUUUUAAAUAAUAGAUUAUUUAGAUUUUAAUUAUUUUGAGUUACCACCCAUAUCCCCGGGCUCAUAUCCUAUGCUUUCUAUAACCCGUGAGAACUACCACUAAUAAUGCUCGAAUCACCAAGCAGCCUCCACGAAUAUUCGAAAACCCCACAGGCCCACACACAGAUUUCUCAAAUGAUAUACUAUCGUGAAAUUUUCAAUUAUUUAAGAUACCCACACAAUAAAAUAUGUGUGAAAUACUAUCACUAAUGGUGCUAAUGAUGCUCCAAAUGCAUUAUGCACCCCAUGCAUUCUCUAAAGCCAUGCAUAUUCAAUUGAAUUCAAAGUACCUUUUUUUUUAAUUCACAGUACUUGAUUUUAAUUCUUGAAAAUGGCACAUGGAUUCUGCCGAGAAAAAACAAAAUGACAAAUCAAUCAGUACAGUGAGGUGGCUAUUUAUAUAUAAAGGUUGUCUAGGGUUUGAAUACUGAUAUAUUUUGUAACGUACUAAUCGAAACUUUUUCCGUGAACCGUUUUGAGUCAUUGCAGGAAUAAAAUGGCCACUCCACUAGCUUUGUUCAAAGGACACGUUCAGACAAGACCGCAGUUAGUUCCUCGUCUUAACCCUCGUAAAGUGUCCAUUGUUGCUCAAUCUCGAGGGCUCCGUAUGGAAAGCGACAACGCGGGUCCGGUGGUUCUGAUAACGGGAUGCUCUCACGGAGGGAUCGGUCACGCGCUGGCACGUGAGUUCGCUGAGAACGGUUGUCGUGUGGUGGCAACGAGUCGAUCACGGAGUAAGAUGGCGGAUCUAGAGCAAGAUCCGAGAAUGUUCGUGCAUGAGCUUGAUGUUCGGUCGGAGCAGAGCGUGAACAAUGUCAUGUCUAAUGUUAUGGAUAAGUUCGGCCAAGUCGACGUUCUCGUCAACAACGCCGGCAUUCAGUGCGUCGGUCCUAUCGCUGAGAUCCCUAUCUCCACCAUGCAAAACACCUUUGACACCAAUGUUUUCGGUACCGUGAGGAUGACUCAAGCCGUUGUACCUCAUAUGGUGUCUAAGAAAAAGGGAAAGAUUGUCAACGUUGGAAGUAUCUCUGUGAUGUAACCAAGUCCAUGGGCAGGUGUCCAUACAGCGACCAAAGCUGCUAUUCAUGCUCUUACCGAUUCCCUCAGGUUGGAGCUCGACCCCUUUGGCAUUGACGUCAUAGAUGUCGUCCCAGGAGGAAUAAAAUCAAACCUAGCAAACUCAGCUGUAGACGUCUUCAAAAAAAUGCCUGAGCUGAAACUAUACAAGGCUUACGAAGAAGGUAUGAUAGAGAGGCUAUUCUUUUUCCAGAGGAGGAAGCCAACUCCUGCUGAAACAUUCGCUAAAGACAUCGUAGCUGUUGUGCUAAAGAAGAACCCACCGGCUUGGUUCUCGUCAGGCAGAUAUUCCGCCUUCAUGGCAAUAAUGUAUCAUAUGCCCAUUUGGUUCAAAGAUUCCCUCCAGAGGAAGGCUUUAAUGAAAAAGGGCUAAUCAUGUAAAAGCUUCUUCGGAGUCUGAUAAUGUAAUCUUAUGUCUUGCUUGGGGGGGUAUAUGUUUUAUUCAACAAUGAGAUAAUAUAAAAAAAUAUAAGACUGGUCA